ensembl:lncRNA
UUUUGCCAUUUCUUGGGCCGCUCCCACAGCAUAUGGAGGUUCCCAGGCUAGGGGUCCAAUAGGAGCUAUAGCCACCAGCCUACGCCAGAGCCACAGCAACGUGGGAUCCAAGCCGCGUCUGCGACCUAUACCACAGAUCAUGGCAAUGCUGGAUCCUUAACCCACUGAGCAAGGCCAGGGACCAAACCCGAAAUCUCAUGGUUCCUAGUUGGAUUCGUUAACCAUGAAAAACGACAGGAACUCCUCAACAGCAUUAUUUUUAAAUUAAGGUACAUAUGUUGUUUUUUAAGAUAUAAUAUUAUCACACACUUAACAGGUUGCAGUGUAAUCCAUGAUGGAAAUGUGACUUAUAAAUACCUGUCAAUACUGUUUUCAUUUAAUGGUGCCACCACUGGAUACUGGAUGCCUGCCUAUAUUGCUAAUAAAGGUUCUCGAGAGAAGAGUUCCAAAAUGGAGCCAAGAUUAUGAAUAUUUGAUAAGGAGUCAUUAUCAGCGAAAGCCCGUGCAUUCUCAGAAUUUAUUUCAGACAAACUUAAUAGAAAAGGUUUUGGAGAAGGAGACUUAAGAUCUUAUCGGAUUAAGCGCCUUCUCAUUUAACAUUUCAAGUCAUGCUUAUGACAGAUGUCAAAUGACAGACUUGAAAAGAGAGGUCUUCAGGGGUUCAAGGCAGAGACUAAUUGAACUUUCUCCAAGCAGACAUACAUAGUUAAGCACCACCGCAAUCCUCUUUAUAAUUACGGAGCAGCGCUGAAAUCUUAGGAAAGCAUGUUGGCAUCAGUGUCCUCAGGCAGUUAUUUGAAACUAACUCAAGACAAAGGAAAGUGUCUAUUGGUAAUUUACACCAUUACAUUGAUUUUUUUCAGUUAUAAUCCAACCUCCAAUUGAGAUCUGAAAUUAAUAAAAUGUUUUCAUAAACAUAUAAAAACAAUAAAAAUAUUCCGUGGUGCUAAAUAAUUUACUGUAUUAUUUAUCAUGUUAUUUAUGAUUAUGUUUAUUUCGGUAAGUAUUAUCAUUAUUUAUAUUGUUUAUUAUUAUUUAUAUGUUAGGAGAAUUUGGGAGAAUCCUUGUAUGUUGGGAUAAAUAUUUCCAUGACAAGGUACAUUCAGGAAAUACUUGAUUUAAUGAAAUUGAGGAUUUUGUUUUUCCAAUAAGACUUUUGGUAGAGAUUUCUAAAGAGAACACUCUAUGAGCUUUCAAGAGUAAGACACAGUUGCAGCACUUUGCAAACUUAGCAGACCAAGGAAUGUUUCUCCCCCCAAAAUCUUCACUCAUGUCCUAAGUAACAGCACUGUUAGUUUCAACAGUGACCUAGACAGGUGCCCAUGCCCCAGGAUGGGACCUGUCUUGUUCUUUCCCUGCUGCUCCCACUUUCCUUGGCACAUGGUGGAAACUAACUAGAUAUGUGGUAAACGAAUCACUCAGCAUCACAAAGAAACUGAGGUUUUAAAUGUACCCUGCAUUUGUAAACUCACAGCAUUCACUGCAUUCUCUUCCUCACCAGGCACAUGGAGCUUCUGGAGAGUACCUUGCAAUGCCUGCUAACAGGGGCACCAGCCGUUUACCAGGCCUAGAACCUACCUUCCCAGGCCCUCCCCCCAAACAGCUGAAAGGUGGGUACUAUUUAGUGUAUAAGUAAUGCAGUGCACAACUGAGAAUAUGUUUAGCACAACUCAUUUUUUAAUGACCCCCCCAAAUGCUCACAAUAUCAAAAAAAGAGAGCAGGACACCAAACUGAACAUACAUAUUGGACUCCAAGUUUGUAAUAACCACAGACUUGUCUACACACACACACAUUCACACGCAUCUGUGUAAACGGAAAAGAAAUUCUUGAAAGAAAUGCCUAAAAAAGUGAUUUUCUUUAUCUCAGUGACUGAUUCUCUGUAUUUCCACUUUAUACAUGUUGACAAAUAACUACAUUAAUAGUCAACAGUUAUUCAUUUCUUAAAAUUAUAGUUGGGAGUUCCUGUCGUGGCUCAGCAGAAAUGAAUCUGACUGGCAUCCACGAGGACAUAGGUUCGAUCCCUGGACUCGAUCAGUGGGUUAAGGAUCCGGCAUUGCUGUGAGCUGUGGUGUAGAUCACAAACAUGGCUUAGAUCUCGGGUUGCUGUGGCUGUGGUGUAAGCUGGCAGCUGUUCCUAGCCUGGGAACUUCCAUAUAUCACAGGUGCAGCCCU